UAUGUGACCUCUUACUGACACUAUGUAAACCUCAGAAAGUCAUCACUUUGACAAUUUAAUGAAAAGUUGACUAUAAAAGUGAAAACAUAGCAGCAGUUAGAGAAGGAAUAACAUUUCUAAGAUCCAUAGAUGGAGAGUUGAAAGAUAUUGAGCCACUAGAAGCACCUAACUUUAUAGUUGGUGGGGCAGCGGGAGGUUAGUAAUGUCGUAUGUUCUCUUAAGUCAAGCUAAAACAUUUUUACCGUUAUUUUCUUGCAUGUCCUUGGCGCAGCAAUGAGGACUUGAAGAACCAAACCUAUAUAUCUUACACCGGUAAUAUAGACCCAUUGGCUGCAAAACCCAUGUGGAAAGAUUUUAAAUGAUUUAAACAUUGCAUGUUGCAGCUCAUAUAAACCUAAGAAGUGUGAUGGUUCCCAUUUAUACAUGUAAUUAACUUCAAGUUUGUUGUUGUUGUUGUAGCAGUGUGUUAUACACUGAGCUCCAUCGGGUCAAUCCGAUGCGUACAACCGGCUGCCAUGGGAUUAAACUUCAAGUUUGUAUUGUACAAUGCCAAUUGAAGUAAAAAUGCCUGUAUAAUUUAGUUGCUCUCGAAUAUUAUUUAAAAAAAAAUAUUUUUAUAUUGAAAAUGCCACAAAGUAAUAUUGGCUUCGUUAUCUUUGUUUUUCUUCCACGUUCUAACUGCAUGCUGGCGCAUUAUAGCAACAUUUUUAUAUAAAUCUGCUUCAAUUUCAAACUGGUUUGGAAAAAUUUCUUGAAAUUUUUGAAAAAAUUCCUUUUUUUAUUUUUAAUUGGCUCUUCUCUUUCAAAUUUAGCCACUUCAAAAAGAUCUCCUUCGACAUAAGGAUUUCACGCGACUUGUAUGUUUCCAAAAAGAAACGUUAAUGUUGGUUGUUGGGGUUUAAUGAACAUUAUUAGAUUUAAUGUAAAUGAGAUUAAGUUAUUAAUUAAUAAUUCCGAUUCCGACUCAGUUGAUGGGUUGGUGCGUUGGUCCUAGUGCUUAACUUACCGAUUUCAUCCAAUCUACUUGCUUCAUCAAGGGUAGUUGAGUAUUUAUCCAUAUCGAUUUCAAUUGCAAUAUUCAUGGUGACAACUAUGCUUAGUAUGGUUUAAAUCGGUUCAUAACCCGAUAUAGACGGCAUCCUAUAGACAUUGACGAUUCUUUUUAUAUAUCGAAAUACUUAAUUUUUUUGUUCAAAUUGCCGUUUAUGCAUACUCCAUAAUUACACGAAAGAUUGACUUCGAGAUCUACGCCUGUUUGUGAACUACUGUGAUUGCAAAUGCGAAUUUGCCCAUGAACGUUCCAUUAAGGAACAGGGGCAAUCUUCUCACAUAUCACUGAGUGCUGUCUGAUUCAUUUCGAAGCACAAUGAUAAGGGGCCUCCUUUUUAUAGGCGUGUCCGAACGGCAUGGCAACACCUCUUAAGGGAGAAGUUUACAUGGCAUUGUACCUCACAGAUUUCCCCAGCAUUAGGAGGGGAUAACAUUUUUUAUGAUGUCCCGCCAGGAUUCAAGUCCAUGCGUAGGAUAUGACCCAACCAAGUUCAUUUGUUCUUCCGGAUUUCUACAUCGACAAGGGUAGUGUUUGUUCUAAAGCUGCCAUUAGACUAUAAGACAUGUCAUAUGUAAUUUCAAAAACAGCAACUAUGAUAGUUGUACCCAAGGCGUAUUUUAUAAGGUGGCCGCAUCAGCACAGCUGAUGGAAUUUUAUAUGUCAAGUCAAUUUUGAAUUCGCCUUAUAAAGAUUUAAACUUCAAAAUAAUUAUUUAGUAAAUAGAUUUUUGAGUUUGCUGCAGUUUUGGUUCUUAAACUUAGGUUAUAAAUGGGAUGCCCUUAUUCAAUAGCGUGGACCACAUUGAACUACGUAAAACUGUGCCAAAACCACGCUCGAAGUCGAUGAAUAAAAGUUAUAGGUGCGUAUUCUGCAGACUGUUUAAUGAUUAUACGCAAGGCGUUAAAUUGGUCGGUUCCAGAUUGUUCGUAUUCCGCAGACUGUUCAAUGAUUAUACGCAAGGCGUUAAAUUGGUGGGUUCCAGAUUGUUUGGAGUAGCAUUUAAUUCCUGAUUUAUUUUUUAAGAAAAAUUUUAAUGUUUUAUUAUAUUUACUAUAAAUUAUUAUUGGUAAUAUUAGUUAAAUUUAUGAGAUUAGCUAUUUUUGAUUAGCAUUUAAUUCCUGAUUUAUUUUUAAAAAAACUUUUAUGAAUUGUUAAUUUUGUAGUGUUUUAGUCAUAUAUGGUCUAAAGACUUGGCUAAUAAAUGAGCAAAUUAAAAAAAAAUCCUGUCAAUGCAGGCGAAAUACGCUGCAGAAGAAGA